rnacentral:rRNA from 1 species
GUAACAGAACUAGCUUGCUAGUUGCUGACGAGUGGCGGACGGGUGAGUAAUACUUAGGGAUCUGCCUCUGUGUGGGGGAUAACUAUUGGAAACGAUAGCUAAUACCGCAUAACGUCUACGGACCAAAGAGGGCUUCGGCUCUCGCGCAGAGAGGAACCUAAGCGAGAUUAGCUUGUUGGUGAGGUAAAGGCUCACCAAGGCGACGAUCUCUAGCUGUUCUGAGAGGAAGAUCAGCCACACUGGAACUGAGACACGGUCCAGACUCCUACGGGAGGCAGCAGUGGGGAAUAUUGCACAAUGGGGGCAACCCUGAUGCAGCCAUGCCGCGUGUGUGAAGAAGGCCUUCGGGUUGUAAAGCACUUUCAGUUGUGAGGAAAGGUUAGUAGUUAAUACCUGCUAGCUGUGACGUUAACAACAGAAGAAGCACCGGCUAACUCCGUGCCAGCAGCCGCGGUAAUACGGAGGGUGCGAGCGUUAAUCGGAAUUACUGGGCGUAAAGCGCACGCAGGCGGUCUGUUAAGCUAGAUGUGAAAGCCCCGCGCUCAACGUGGGA